UGCAAAUGUGGCAGGGGAUCUAGUACCAGUUCUAAAAGCUUCUUCUCUGAUGAAAACUUUGUGCUCCUACUCAUGAGAGAGAACAAGCAGUGAAAUAAUGACAGUGUUGUUGUGCAGAGAGAGAUAAUGUCCACGUGUGUAUGUAGGUAGGAUUAUAAAUGUAGGGAGCUGAGAAGAUCAUCUCUCUUGCGAUGAAAGUCUGGGAGCUGGGCUCGCUUAGCCUGGAGAGGAGGAGGCUCAAGGAUCAUUUUGUCAAUGUAUGUAAGGGGAGGAUGUAAAGAAGUCUGAACCAGGCUCUUCUUAGUGAGGCCCAGUGGUGUGACAGGAGGCAAUGGGUGCAUACCAAAACAUUCCAUGUGGUCAUGGAACUGAAGCCUUCAGUGACUGCUGUAGGAAGUGUUGGAGUACUGGGGUUGGCAGGAGAUGACCCUCUGCUGGCACCUGAGGGGCCUUUUGGGUCUUAAUUGUAUGGUGGUUGGAGUGAACUAGAAAACGUGCUUCUCUAGCAAGUUGGUUGCUUUGAUGGAAUGGGGAGUAGAGUGGUUUUGAAUGGGACUGUGUGCUCAAAUGUGAGCAGAUGCGUAAUAGUUGAAGUACAUUUAUAGAAUUUUACUGCUACCACCUGCUGGAAAAUGUUCAGGUAUUCUGUAAUUGUAAUCAGUAAUAUGUUUUGUGCAUCUUCUUCAUGAGUAAGUAAGAGCAGAAGUGGGAAUGGUUUUAGUGUGAAAAACUAAAAAAGUAUUUAACAUGAGGCAGCUGAUAUUUUUGCUCUAAUGAACACGUGCUUCGGCAGGAUAGAGAAAAAUGGGGCUAGGGUAUGGAUGCUGGAAGUAGUAACUGAAUAUAUUGUGUAAUUCUUGACUUGUCAAAUAGAAAAACCAGAAUGGACUGCAGCGAUGGACAAGAAGCUCCAUAUGUGGCUGCGUGUCAAAGCCUCUCUGAAAAUUUGAGAGAAGAGAAGCAUUCUGUAUGGGAAUCAGUACAACAACUUUGCUUCUUGGUCCUGAAUAAAUGAUACCUCCGAAGUGCUCUCGUGUUCUCAAAGAUGGCAACUAUUUUAGAACGAAUGGAGCCGCCUUAUUUUGGUGUGGUGAUUCAGAUGUGCUCCUAACAGUUUGAAAGCACUGGAAAAAUGAAGAUCUACUGAGUAAUACCAAUAAAAAAGCAUGCUCUUGCAUGCAAGGAGGCGAUGGAGAAACCGGGGAUGUGUCAGGACCUCCCUUGUACAACACUGGACAGGAAGCAGCAACACAAAGAAGGCUGAGG